rnacentral:lncRNA from 1 species
UUGCGUGAUUGUUCUUGGGAGAGUGUUGGUUUGGUGCAGUUGGAUGAGAUUUUGGUUGUUUUUGCACGGGAUGACAAUGAUUUCUUUGUUGUUUCUCUUCGUUCUAGGUAUGUUUAGAUUGCUAGUGUUUGUGGGCUUGGAAGUCAGCCAAGUCCACAUGACGUAAGUCUAGCAUGUUUACCAAACUCAAAAUCCCUGGACUUGACAGACUGUCAAGCCCAAAGUGCGUGGACUUGGCAUGGCAACCAGGUCCACAAUAACAUGGGUUUUGUAUGUUUGCCAGAUCUAAGGCAUCUGAGUUUGACGUUAGCCAAGUCCAAAGUGUGUGAGCUUGGUUUCAAGGUUUAUUAAUUAUUUUUCAAAGCGGUUGAUUGAUUGUUUCUUAUUUUGAAUACAACAAUCAUCAACAAGAUCCAAGUUGUGCACUUCCGCCCGCGAAGA